rnacentral:lncRNA from 1 species
UGGAAAGGGUUCACACAUAUAAUCCCAGCACUUUGGGAGGCUGAGGUAGGAAGAUCGCUGGAACCCAGGAGUUCAAGACCAUCCUGGGUAAGAUAACAGCACCUCAGAGAAGAUUUGGAAAAUAAAUGAGCUGAUGAGAGCAAUUUUCUGCUUCCUGGGCCACCACAGUCUUCUUUGCUGUUUUUGAUUGCAACCAUUUUCAGAGAAGAAUCAACACCAAAGAUCAUCAAGCCAUGUAGCAAUUGAGAUAAAGACCUAACAUGAAGAAUUCUAUUCUGAGAUCCAGAAGAAAUGAAUCACAGACCCAGAUGACACCUAGUCUAUAGGAGGAGGACUCAUUCUUAACCAUUAGAUUUAGCCAUGCAGAAGUCAGAUCAAGAGUAAACAGAGCAAGAACAGUUUUGGUGCUGUGAUGGGUCAAAAGCCUGAGUCAGAUUACAUGUAUAUAAAUUACCUAGUAACGAGCAUGACCUCUGUCCAAGCAGAAGGCAAGCAGGGGAGAAGAUUUAGCUGCUCAACUACAGUUAUUCUCUCAACCCAAGCUAAGGUAGUUGGUGCCAUACAUUUCCCACAGGACUACUAUUUUCCAAUAUCAACAUCUUUAAUUUAUUUAUUUAUUUUUGUUUUAGUGCACUAGCUGGAAGUUUCGAUAUAAUGUUAAAUACAAAGGAUGAGAGUAAAUAUUCUUACAUUUUUCCUGGUCUUAUGAAGAAAGAAUUUUCUUUCACCAUUAAGUAUUAUGUUGUCUGUAGGUUUUUCACAUAUGUUCAUAGUGGGUUGAAGCACUCUCUUUUUAGUCCUAGCUGAGAGUUUUAGGUUAAGAAUAAGUAUUAUUUAUUAUUAUUAUUAUUUAUUUAUUAUUAUAAAUAAAAUACAUUUAUUACAUUAA